UCUACCUCAGCCAAGCACUGGUUUCUUUUGGUGGGUAGGCAGAUUAUGGUUGACAUCCUAGCACCAUGAGAAAUCAGUACUAGGAGAGGUCUG
rnacentral:pre_miRNA from 1 species